rnacentral:tRNA from 1 species
UCCCUUGAAGCUCAGUUGGUAAAGAAUCUGCCUGCAAUGCAGGAGAUCCAGGUUUGAUCCCUGGGUCGGGAA